GUGUCAGCAGCCGCGGUAAUACGUAGGGGGCAAGCGUUGUCCGGAUUUAUUGGGCGUAAAGAGCGUGUAGGCGGCUUUACAGGUCCGUUGUGAAAACUCGAGGCUCAACCUCGAGACGCCGGUGGAAACCGUAAAGCUAGAGUCCGGAAGAGGAGAGUGGAAUUCCUGGUGUAGCGGUGAAAUGCGCAGAUAUCAGGAAGAACACCCGUGGCGAAGGCGGCUCUCUGGGACGGUACUGACGCUGAGACGCGAAAGCGUGGGGAGCGAACAGGAUUAGAAACCCUAGUAGUCC
rnacentral:rRNA from 1 species